GUGCUUGCUUUGGCAGCACAUAUACUAACAUUGGAACGAUAGAGAAAAGAUCAGCAUGGCCCCUGUGCAAGGAUGACACGCAAAUUCGUGAAGCGUUCCCUAUUUUU
ensembl:snRNA U6 U6 spliceosomal RNA